UUUGAAUUCGGGGGGAAUGGGGGAGAUACACAAACAUUCAAACCACAGCACUCAAUUAAUUAAUUAUGUCAAGUUAUCAUAGUUACUUGACUCAGGUGUUUUUGGGACUGCAGGCAGGGAGGAAGCAAGGCUUAGAAGAGUCAUCUACCACUCUCAAAAAUAAUACUGCUCGUCAGGAAGAGGAAAGUUCUUCUGGGAAGCAUCUGGCUAAUCUUUUUGGAAAGGUUCUGAGGAAAUUCUUAAAGAGGACCUAUUAUGCAAUCCUGGCUACAAUGCUGUAGACGUUCCUGUAAGGGUUCCUGUGGUUUCUAAUGUACAAAGAUGGACAAUUCCUCAGAUGGCCUCAGGAGAAUGCUUUUAGAUCUGCACUGGGCAGAACCCUGGGAUUAAUUAACAAGGCUCUGUGCCAUCUUGGUAAAGAUGGUCCCCCAGGGGACAAGAAGGAAAAACUUCAGCUGCUCUCAAGUCAUUGCCUACGGAGAAAAAGCCAUUGGUUCUACCUUCCCUUCUAAUUUCUAAUUUCUAAUUUAAUUUCGACUUAAAACUCAAACCCUUUGCUGGUGCCUGACUAACUCUCCUAAAUGAAAGAGGAACAAAUGUUGGACAGUAAGGAAGCCUUCUGGUCCCAAGGCCUCAGAAUGGAUUAGGCAUUGGUUAGCCAUUCCUGGGCCAUGGCACGUGGGGGGCCUGGAGACCAGUACUACUGCAGGGGCAGGACCCUGUGGGCAUCAGGAUGCCACCCCCUCACCCUCACUCCAGGACCACCACUCUCUCCAUCAGUUUUUCUUUUCAAUCAAAGAAUAAAUGGCUAUUUUACCCAUCUUAAACACAACAGCCUUCUUCUGAUCUCUCUCCUCCCACUGAUUACUUUCCUUUUGCAGCAAAACUCCUUUCAAGAAUUGUCUACACUUGCUUUCAUUUUCUCACUUUCCAUUCUCUAUCAAGCUCAUUCCUGCCAUGCUUUUGCCCCUACCAUCUAACCAAACUACUCUUAUCGAGGUCACCAAUCACCUUCACCUUGCUAAAUAUAAGGGUCAGUUUGUCACUCCUUCCUCCUGAUCUACUUUCUUCACUCUCUUCCAGGACACAGCACUUUCUUGGUUUUCCUCUUGCUUUACUGGGGUUCCUUCUCAGUCUGCUCUGCUCUAGGAAUUUUUAAUAUUUGAGUAUCCCAGGUCUCAAUCAUUAGUCCUCUCCUCCUCUCUAUUUCUAUCCACUCCCUUGGGGAUCUCAUCCAGUCUCAUGACUUGGAAAUACCAACGUGGGUCAUUUGGAAGUUGUUAUGUGGGACAGUCCUGUGCACUACAGGAUGCCCAGCAUCUCCGCCACCACCCAUCCACUAAAUGCCAGUAACAGCCUUCCCAUCAUUGUGACAACCAAAAAUUCCCUCACCAAUUUCCCAAACACCCCUGAUGGCAGAAUCACUCCUGCCUAGAAACACUACUUAGAAAUAAGGUCUGUGCUCCUGUAGGUAUAGCUUUAUUCUAUAGUUUGAUCAGUAGAAGUGUUAACAACAUAUUGAAAAGCACAAAAUUCCAUCAUGAGUGUGGAAUUAAAAUUUAUUCAAGAACAUCCUCAUAUAUCCAUUGGUUCUCAGCCCAGAUAGUCCCUUAUCCUAACACGUCGGUGAGCUUGGAUUUCUUGUGAGAAAAGGAUGGUGUUAUGAUAGCUGGCAGCUAAGCAUCAUAUAACUUGAAACUUGGGAAUGCUGCUACAGAAAUCCAUUUUGUGGUACACAGGGGACUACCAGUGUGCAAGAAAAAACACUGGACUGAUCUGGAAGUCAAAAGAUCUGGGUUGUAAUUCAGGCUCUGUGAAUAUACAGAUAUAUCUGCUCAUUUGGCAGAGCUUUAUCUACUGGCUAUGCACCAGGACCACCAAGAUGAAUAAAAGAGUGACCUGACCUAGAAGGGAAGGCUAGAGGGAGCAUAUCAGUCUCUGUGUCUUGAUUUCGUCAACCUCAAAUCUGAAUCUCCAAAGUACCUUCCAAGUAAAAAAGAAAAUUAAGAUUCUAUGCAGAUGCUUGCAAUAUGCCUAAACAGAAGCAGACACUAUGGUACUAGAGAGCUGAGGUCAAGCCACCCAUAUGACAUUAUUUUAUGUUCAAAUGAGAACACAAAUAUUACUAUAAGAAAUUACUCUGUUAUUAAUGUAAAAAUCACUAUAUUUCUACUUCUUAACAUAAGAAAGAUUUAGAGUAUACACUCAAAUGAUCCUUGGAGCAAAAUGGAAUACAAAUGACAAUAUCAGCCUGUGUUUCUGAAAGCAUUAUUUGUUGUACCAAAAAUAUUGUGAUCUUUAAUCACUGUAUCCCUUACAUAAUUCCCACUCCAGUAAGGCAAAUUUGCAAAGAAUUUACACAGUAAAAUUGUCUAGUAGCUAUAGCAGCUCACAGGAGAACAUGCUAAAGGGGAUGGAACAACAUUACAUCAACUGGC
rnacentral:lncRNA from 1 species